GACGAACGCUGGCGGCGUGCUUAACACAUGCAAGUCGAGCGGAAAGGCCCUUCGGGGUACUCGAGCGGCGAACGGGUGAGUAACACGUGAGUAACCUGCCCCAGACUUUGGGAUAACCCUCGGAAACGGGGGCUAAUACCGGAUACGACACAGCUUCGCAUGGGGUCUGUGUGGAAAGUUUUUCGGUUUGGGAUGGGCUCGCGGCCUAUCAGCUUGUUGGUGGGGUGAUGGCCUACCAAGGCGACGACGGGUAGCCGGCCUGAGAGGGCGACCGGCCACACUGGGACUGAGACACCGCCCAGACUCCUACGGGAGGCAGCAGUGGGGAAUAUUGCACAAUGGGCGGAAGCCUGAUGCAGCGACGCCGCGUGAGGGAUGACGGCCUUCGGGUUGUAAACCUCUUUCAGCAGGGACGAAGCGUAAGUGACGGUACCUGCAGAAGAAGCGCCGGCCAACUACGUG
rnacentral:rRNA from 1 species